rnacentral:rRNA from 1 species
CACGUAGGGUGCGAGCGUUGUCCGGAAUUAUUGGGCGUAAAGAGCUCGUAGGCGGUGUGUCGCGUCGGCCGUGAAAACCUGCAGCUUAACUGUGGGCUUGCGGUCGAUACGGGCAUCACUGGAGUUCGGCAGGGGAGACUGGAAUUCCUGGUGUAGCGGUGAAAUGCGCAGAUAUCGGAAGGAACACCAGUAGCGAAGGCGGUACUCUGGGCCGGAACUGACGCUGGAGG